rnacentral:rRNA from 1 species
CUGCAGCCCGAGUGGUGAUCGAUUUUAUUGAGCCUAAAGCGUCCGUAGCCGGACUAGUAAACCCUUGGGUAAAUUGGGCAGCUUAACUGUCCGAAUUCCGAGGGGACUGCUAGUCUUGGGACCGGGAGAGGUCAGAGGUACUCAAGGGGUAGGGGCUAAAUCCUGUAAUCCUUUGGGGACCACCAGUGGCGAAGGCGUCUGACUAGAACGGAUCCGACGGUAAGGGACAAAACCCUGGGGCGCGAACCGGAUUAGAGACCCGAGUAGUCC